rnacentral:rRNA from 1 species
UGAUUGAACGUUAGCGGGAUGCCUUACACAUGCAAGUCGAACGGGCAGCACGGACUUCGGUCUGGUGGCGAGUGGCGAACGGGUGAGUAAUGUAUCGAACAGCCCAGUAGCGGGUAGGGAUAACUACGCGAAAGCGUAGCUAAUACCGCAUACGCCCUACGGGGGAAAGCAGGGGAUCGCAAGACCUUGCACUAUUGAGCGGCCGAUAUCGGAUUAGGGCUAGUUAGGCAAUACCACCAAGGCGACGAUCCGUAGCUGGUUUGAGAGGACGACCAGCCACACUGGGACUGAGACACGGCCCAGACUCCUACGGGAGGCAGCAGUGGGGAAUUUUGGAUGUAUGGGGGAAACCCCGAUCCAGCCAUCCCGCGUGCGAUGAAGGCCUUCUCGGGUUGUAAAGCACUUUGGCAGGAAAGAAACGUCGUGGGUUAAUACUCCGCGAAACUGACGGUACCUGCAGAAUAAGCACCGGCUAACUACGUGCCAGCAGCCGCGGUAAUACGUAGGGUGCAAGCGUUAAUCGGAAUUUCAUUGGCGCAAGCGUGCGCAGGCGGUCUAAAAAGAAAGAUGUGAACCAGAGCUUAAAUUUGAACCCAUUUUUAACUACCGGGCUAGAGUGUGUCAGAGGGAGGUGGAAUUCCGCGUGUAGCAGUGAAAUGCGUAGAUAUGCGGAGGAACACCGAUGGCGAAUAUGGCAGCCUCCUGGGAUAAAGACUGACGCUCAUGCACGAAAGCGUGGGGAGCAAACAGGAUUAGAUACUCCCGGUAGUCCACGUCUAAACGAUGUCAACUAGCUGUUGGGGCCUUCGGGCUCUGGUAGCGUACAUCGCGUGAAGUUGACCGCCUGUGGAGUACGGUCGCAGACAACUCAAAGAAUUGACGGACCUGCACAAGCGGUGGAUGAUGUGGAUUACCCGAUGCAACGCAGAAAACCUGUACCUACCCUGACAUGUCUGGAAUGCCGAAGAAGGACGGCAGUGCUCGCAAGAGAACCGGAAACACAGUGCUGCAUGGCUGCCGUCAGCUCGUGUCGAGAUGUUGGGUUAAGUCCCGCAACGAGCGCAACCCUUGUCAUUAGUUGCUACGAAAUUCCACGAGACUGCCGGUGACAAACUGGAGGAAGCAGGGAUGACGUCAAGUCCUCAUGGCCCUUAUGGGGCUUCACACGCUGUACAAUGGUCGGGACAGAGGGUCGCCAACCCGCGAGGGGGAGCCAAUCCCAGAAACCCGAUCAGAACCGGAUCGCAGUCUGCAACUCGACUGCGUGCCGGAAUCGCCAGGUAAUCGCGGAUCAGCAUGUCGCGGUGAAUACGUUCCCGGGUCUUGUACACACCGCCCGUCACACCAUGGGGAGUGGGUUUUUACCAGAAGUAGUUAGCCUAACCGCAAGGGGGCGAUUACCACGGUAGGAUUCAUGACUGGGUGAAGUCGUAACAAGGUAG